rnacentral:rRNA from 1 species
UACGUAGGGGGCAAGCGUUGUCCGGAUUUAUUGGGCGUAAAGAGCGUGUAGGCGGCUUGGAAGGUCAGCUGUGAAAACUCGAGGCUCAACCUCGAGACGUCGGUUGAAACCACCUGGCUAGAGUCCGGAAGAGGAGAGUGGAAUUCCCGGUGUAGCGGUGAAAUGCGUAGAGAUGUGGAGGAACACCAAUGGCGAAGGCAGCCUUCUGGGCCAACACUGACGCUCAUGCACGAAAGCGUGGGGAGCAAACAGG